ACUCCUACGGGAGGCAGCAGUGGGGAAUAUUGGACAAUGGGCGCAAGCCUGAUCCAGCCAUGCCGCGUGCAGGAUGAAGGCCUUCGGGUUGUAAACUGCUUUUGUACGGAACGAAAAGACUCUGGUUAAUACCUGGUGUCCAUGACGGUACCGUAAGAAUAAGCACCGGCUAACUACGUGCCAGCAGCCGCGGUAAU
rnacentral:rRNA from 1 species